rnacentral:rRNA from 1 species
CCCGCUGAACUUAAGCAUAUCAAUAAGCGGAGGAAAAGAAACUAACAAGGAUUCCCCUAGUAACUGCGAGUGAAGCGGGAUGAGCUCAAAUUUGAAAUCUGGCGCUUUCAGCGUCCGAGUUGUAUUCUGGAGAAGUGCUUUCCGCGCCGGACCGUGUACAAGUCCCUUGGAACAGGGCGUCAUAGAGGGUGAGAAUCCCGUCUUUGACACGGACCCCCGGUGCUCUGUGAUGCGCUCUCGAAGAGUCGAGUUGUUUGGGAAUGCAGCUCAAAAUGGGUGGUAAAUUCCAUCUAAAGCUAAAUAUUGGCGAGAGACCGAUAGCGAACAAGUACCGUGAGGGAAAGAUGAAAAGCACUUUGGAAAGAGAGUAAAACAGUACGUGAAAUUGUUGAAAGGGAAACGCUUGAAGUCAGUCGCGUCUUCUGGAACUCAGCCUUGCUUCUGCUUGGUGCACUUUCCAGUUUGACGGGCCAGCAUCGGUUUCGGGUGACGGACAAAGGCGAGGGGAAGGUGGCAGCUCCGGCUGUGUUAUAGCCCCUCGUUGUAUACGUCUCCUGGGACCGAGGAAUCCGGCGCUUGCGCCUGGGAUGCUGGCGUAAUGGCUUUAAGCGACCCGUCUUGAAACACGG